UUAUAAAUAGCCCUAAAACACUUCCCUAACUCUUAGGUAAAACAAAUUUCACAACAAUAAUCACCAUGAAAAUUCUUGUAUUAGUUUCAUGGCUUUGCCUCAUUAUAUUCUUGAAAACUUUGCCAUACUCAUCUUGCACCUUCAUCCCAAAAUCCACAAAUAAUGAACUCAUCUUGCAAAAUGAAAACAAGGAAAAGAUUGCAAAUGAUACAUUAAUGCUUGACUCAACAAGUACAAAGAGCAACAAGGAUGAAGAUAAACAUGUUCAUAAAAUUGUUCAUCAAAGAAGAGGAGCUUAUGGUGGACCAGACCUUCUUAGAAAGGGACCUAAAAAAAAUGGAGCAAAUAAUUACAAAUAUGAAAGGCCAAUUUUAAUGUCUUCUUUGUUAUUUUCUCUUCUAAUUGCCUUCACUCUCUAAGUUUUGGAAUUAGCAGUGUGAUUAGUCGAGAGUCUAUCAAAAAUAGUUUCUCUAUUUCAUAAGAUAGGAGUAACGGUGUGUAUACAAUAUCCUCCUAAGAACUAACUUGUGUAAUUUCAUAGAGUAUGUUGUUGUUGAAACACGAUUGGCUUC